ensembl:lncRNA
GCAGCCAGAGCUUCUGCAACCUGACAGCACUCAGAAGCCACCGGGAGAGACAGCACGGAGAGGAGAGGAUCUGGGAGGAUGAGGACAGGGCGGUGAGAGAGGAAGAGGAGGGAAGCACUGCAGUAAUCUCUAAUGAUUCAACCAGAGUUUCAGGUAAGGCUGGUUCUUUAUUAAUAUUUCCUCUUGUUUAGGCUAUGGAUUCACCUCUCAUUUGCAGGGUACUUGGAAUUCUGUGAACGUGUGUCUUGAAUCUGAUUAUUCUGUUCUAGAUAUGAUAUGCAUCUUGUUAUUUUGUCUUUUCAAUGACUCAGUAUUUACCUGUAUUUGACAAUUUUUCCUCUUUGCAGCAAAUCACAUCACUUGUGUAUCCACUGGUUCUCCUGACCCUGUCUAAUUGCUUUCUCUUCCCGUAGCCCAGCCUCCCCAGUCUCCUCAGUGCCAUCAUGACCUUUCAGGAUGCAGAGACAGAAGAGAGGCAUUUACGCUUCAAGCACCCAGUGGAGUAUGAGAGACAUCUCAGAGGUCGCACAGUGUUUGCCUGCUGUGUCUGUACAUUCCCCUCCUGCCUGCCUGCUCUCAGCUCACCAACGCACCCACAGCAAGUGGAGUCUGCCCCCCACUGGCCCAGAAGACUCUGUCCAAGAAAGCACAGACGGAGGAGAGGCUGAGGGUAUGGACAAUGAAAAACACCGAGCUGGUCCAAUGAGCUGUGAGCACUGUCAUAUCAUCUUCAAUGACCCUCGAACCUGGGAACGUCACAUGACGGCCAAGCACCCCCCCAUCCCUGUCGACACCUACUUCACCAGGGAAUGCCUACCUGACUUCUAGACCUGCCAGGGGUCAACUACGACCCUAUCGCUGCUCCUCCUGUGGAGAGAGAAUCAUACAGGAAAGCACCCUGACCAAACACUGCACUGAUGGUUCUGGGAGCAUAGAUACCAAGAUGAAGAGGACAAGAGGCAAGUUGGAGAGAUAGAUAGAUAGAUAGAUAGAUAGAUAUAGGAGUGUUUUCCAGGAGGGCCUUGACUAACUAUUUACAAAGUUGUUUAAUGAAGAAAUUACGUGUCACUUAGGAUAAAUCAAAUAUCAUUUCAUUGUAGGCCUUAGUGUCAACCCUUAUGCCAACUUUCUCCAACACCAACAGAAUCUUCACAAAAUAUAUUUUGAAUUAAUACCUCUUCUAGGGCUGUGAAGAUACCAGUAUCGCAAUAUUUUUUUCCAUGGCAAAAAUGAAAACAUGAAGCAGACCGGACUCUUUGGUCCUUUUAUUAUCCAAGCUAUAAGCUUUGAAAAUAAAUACGUGAUUCUGGAUAAAAACAUAAUGUUUGUUUCCAACUUCAAGGCUGUUUCCCCAAAGAAGUUAAAUCCACUUCGUGUUUUGUUUCCUUGCCAUGAUACUGGUAUCAAAAUGGAGUAGUUUUCAAAAUAAAAGCCUGACCAUAUUUAUUAGAGAUUCACAUAAAAAAAAGUGUUUCUCCUGUACCAUGAUUAAAGAUGAAAACAGACCAAACCAUCUUUUGAUCAUUUUGAUAGCAAUAAUGUCUGUACUAUGACAUGUAAACUACAUGAACAAAAGUAUGUGAACACCUGCUCAUCGAACAUCUCACUCCAAAAUCAUGGGUAUUAAUAUGGAAUUGGUCCCCCCUUUGCUGCUAUAACAGCCUCCACUCUUUUGGGAAGGCUUUCCAUUAGAUGUUGGAACAUUGCUGUGGGUACUUCCAUUCAGCCACGAGCAUUGGUGAGGUCGGGCACUGAUGUUGGGCGAUUAGGCCUGGCUCGCAGUCUGAGUUCCAAUUCAUCCUAAAAGUGUUCGAUGUGGUCGAGGUCAAGGCUCUAUGCAGGCCUGUCAAGUUCUUCCACACCGAUCUCAACAAACCAUUUCUGUAUGGACCUCGCUUUGUGGACGGUGGCAUUGUAAUGCUGAAACAGGAAAGGGCCUUCCCCAAACUGUUGCCACAAAGUUGGAAGCACUGAAUCGUCAAGAAUGUCAUUGUAUGCUGUAGCGUUAAGAUUUUCCUUCACUUGUAUUAAGGGGCCUAGCCCGAACCAUGAACAACCAUUAUUCCCCCUCCACCAAACUUUACCUUUGGCACUAUGCAUUGGGGCAGGUAGCGUUCUCCUGGCAUCCGCCAAACACAGAUUCAUCCAUCGGACUGCCAGAUGAUGAAGCGUGAUUCAUCACUCCAGAGAAUGUGUUUCCACUGCUCCAAAUCCAAUGGCGGCGAGCUUUACACCACUCCAGCUGAUGCUUGGCAUUGUGCAUGGUGAUCUUAGGCUUGUGUACGGCUGCUUGGCCAUGGAAACCCAUGUCAUGAAGCUCUCAAUGAACAGUUCUUGUGCUGAUGUUGCUUCCAAAGGAAGUUUGGAACUCGGUAGUGAGUGUUGCAACUAGUUCUGUUACGGUGACUAUAUUACCGGCACACUGGCAGUCACGUGUCAUGAGGGCAGUCAAAUUCCAUGUGACCAUUUAGUCAUGGUAAUUAGGCUUCUCCAAGCUCUGAUGCUGCUGAUGGUCAUUAGUAGCAUACCAAACUUGCUAACUGCCUGGCACUCUAUUGUCCUUCUAUCACUCUGACAUCAAUGCAAAUGUGAUCAAAAAUGUAAUAAAAAACUUACAUUUCUAUAGGCUAUGCAAUUGAGAAAACAGAGUGAUGGCCUCUUAAAAAGAGGAGGAUCCCAUCAGCUUUCAAUAGGCUAGGCCUCUCUUUAAAACAGGAGUAUAGCCUAUCUGGCUGGAAUGAAAAUGAACCACGAGAAAAGCGUCCUCCAUUCACUAUUUAAGUGCAUAGAUGACAUGUAUUUUUUCCUGCAAACCCUGUUUCGAGACAGUUGCAUGAUAAUGGUCCAUUAUAAAUCAAAACACACUUCACACGUGUUAUUUAGUAUACAGUUCCUUCAGGAAAGUAUUCAGACCCCUUGACUUUUUCCACAUUUUGUAAUGUUACAACCUUAUUCUAAAAUGGAUUUUAAAAGAUGCUCCUCAGCAAUCUACACAGAAUACCCCAAAAUGAUAAAGUGAAAACAGGUUUUUAGAAUUUUUGCAAAUGUAAUAAAAAUAGAAAUACCAUAUUUAAUAAGUAUUCAGACCCUUUGCUAUGAGACUCGAAAUUGAGCUUGAGUGCAUCCUGUUUCCAUUGAUCAUCCUUGAUGUUUCUACAACUUAUUUUGGAAUCCACCUGUGGUCAAUUCAGUUGAUUGGACAUGAUGUUGAAAGGCACACACCUGUCUUUAUAAUGUCCCACUGUUGACAGUGCAUGUCAGAGCAAAAACCAAGAUAUGAGGUCGAAGGAAUUGAGACAGGUUUGUGUCGAGGCACAGACAUGGGGAAGGAUACCAAAAAAUGUCUGCAGCAUUGAAGGUCCCCAAGAACACAGUGGCCUCUAUCAUUCUUAAAAGGAAGAUUGGAACCACCAAGACUUCCUAGAGCUGGCCACCUGGCCAAACUGAGCAAUCAGGGGAGAAGGGCCUUGGUCAGGGAGGUGACCAAGAACCUGAUGGUCACUCUGACAAGAGCUCUAGAGUUCCUCUGUGGAGAUCGGAGAAUCUUCCAGAAGGACAACCAUCUCUGCAGCACUCCACCAAUCAGGCCUUUAUGGUAGAGUGACCAGACAGAAGCCACUCCCCAGUAAAAGGCACAUGACAGCCCGCUUGGAGUUUGCCAAAAGG